rnacentral:rRNA from 1 species
AUUAAAAACCAAUGCCCUUCGGGGCUCACUGGUGAUUCAUGAUAACUCCUCGAAUCGCAUGGCCUUGUGCCGGCGAUGGUUCAUUCAAAUUUCUUCCCUAUCAACUUUCGAUGUUUGGGUAUUGGCCAAACAUGGUUGCAACGGGUAACGGAGGGUUAGGGCUCGACCCCGGAGAAGGAGCCUGAGAAACGGCUACUACAUCCAAGGAAGGCAGCAGGCGCGCAAAUUACCCAAUCCCGACACGGGGAGGUAGUGACAAUAAAUACUGAUACAGGGCUCUUUUGGGUCUUGUAAUUGGAAUGAGUACAAUUUAAAUCCCUUAACGAGGAACAAUUGGAGGGCGAGUCUGGUGCCAGCAGCCGCGGUAAUUCCAGCUCCAAUAGCGUAUAUUAAAGUUGUUGUGGUUAAAAAGCUCGUAGUUGAACCUUGGGCCUGGCUGGCCGGUCCGCCUCACCGCGUGUACUGGUCCGGCCGGGCCUUUCCCUCUGUGGAACCCCAUGCCCUUCACUGGGUGUGGC